rnacentral:rRNA from 1 species
GACGAACGCUGGCGGCGUGCUUAACACAUGCAAGUCGAGCGAUGAAGCACCUUCGGGUGUGAAUUAGCGGCGAACGGGUGAGGAACACGUGAGAAAUCUGCCUUCAACACUGGGAUAACUCCGGGAAACCGGGGCUAAUACCGGAUAUGAAACCUGCGGGCAUCCGCGGGUUUGGAAAGUUUUUCGGUUGAAGAUGAUCUCGCGGCCUAUCAGCUUGUUGGUGAGGUAAUGGCUCACCAAGGCGACGACGGGUAGCCGGCCUGAGAGGGCGACCGGCCUCACUGGGACUGAGACACGGCCCAGACUCCUACGGGAGGCAGCAGUGGGGAAUAUUGGGCAAUGGAGGAAACUCUGACCCAGCGACGCCGCGUGCGGGAUGAAGGCCUUCGGGUUGUAAACCGCUUUCAGCAGGGAAGAAGCGAAAGUGACGGUACCUGCAGAAGAAGCACCGGUUAACUAUGUGCCAGCAGCCGCGGUAA